rnacentral:ncRNA from 1 species
CGAGAUUGAGCAAUAACAGGUCUGGGAUGCCCUUAGAUGUUCGGGGCCGCACGCGCGCUACACUGACCGGAUCAGCGUGUGCUCUCCUUGGCCGACAGGUCGGGAAAACCCGUGGAACCCCGGUCGUGCUAGGGAUAGGGAAUUGCAAUUAUUUCCCUUGAACGAGGAAUUCCCAGUAAGCGCGAGUCAUUAGCUCGCGUUGAUUACGUCCCUGCCCUUUGUACACACCGCCCGUCGCUACUACCGAUUGAAUGGUUUAGUGAGGUCCUCCGAUUGGACCCGGUCCGGGCGGCGACGUCCGAGCCGGCGUCCGAGAAGACGAUCUAACUUGAUCAUUUAGAGGAAGUAAAAGUCGUAACAAGGUUUCCGUAGGUGAACCUGCGGAAGGAUCAUUA